rnacentral:misc_RNA from 1 species
GACAGAGGGUGUGAACGUUGCUCGGAAUUACUGGGCGUAAAGUGCGUGUAGGCGGACGGGGAAGUCGGGUGUGAAAUCCCUGGGCUCAACCCAGGAACUGCAUUCGAAACUCCACGUCUAGAGUGCCGGAGAGGGAAGCGGAAUUCCUGGUGUAGAGGUGAAAUUCGUAGAUAUCAGGAGGAACACCGGUGGCGAAGGCGGCUUCCUGGACGGUGACUGACGCUGAGACGCGAAAGCGUGGGGAGCAAACAGG